UACAGAGGGUGCGAGCGUUAAUCGGAAUUACUGGGCGUAAAGCGCACGUAGGUGGCGACGUAAGUCGGGUGUGAAAGCCCUGGGCUCAACCUGGGAAUUGCAUUCGAGACUGCAUUGCUGGAGUACGGAAGAGGAGGGCGGAAUUCCCGGUGUAGCGGUGAAAUGCGUAGAUAUCGGGAGGAACAUCAGUGGCGAAGGCGGCCCUCUGGUCCAGUACUGACACUCAAGUGCGAAAGCGUGGGGAGCAAACAGG
rnacentral:rRNA from 1 species